AGUGUGCGCCCAGGUCAGUCGAUGAAAGAAAGAGGGCCUUCCAUCUCCUCCUUGUUCCUCGGCAAGACGCAGCCAAACCAGGUGAGGCCAUUUGCUGCGGCGCUUCGACGUGAAGGCCUGGUUGGCGUUGCGGUUUUCUUCCGCGGGCUCCUGAAAAUUGAAAACAAAACAAAACAAAACAAAAAACUGAAAAGCCGGCUCCGCUCAGGCAAAGGAGAUCCGGGUUCUCUCCCACCCCCUUGCUUGCCUUGGCCACGUCGCGGCACCUCAAUCGCCAGUGAAGCGUCGCAGACCUUAUACCGACGCCUCCAGUUUUCCAGGGGAGGUGGGCAAAGGCAGGGAGGGAAGAGCAAAGUGGGGAGGGAGAAGUUUUAA
rnacentral:lncRNA from 1 species